CUCUACUAAAAAUACAAAAAUUAGCCAGGCAUGGUGGUGCACACCUGUAAUCCCAGCUACUGGGGGGGCUGAGGUAGGAGAAUCACUUGAACCCAGGAGGCAGAGGCUGCAGUGAACCCAGAUCACACCACUGCACUCCAGCCUAGAUGACAGAGUGAGACUCGGUCUCAAAAAAAAAAAAAAAACAAAGAACUGAUGGAAUGCCUGAAUCAGUGAAUGAAUGUGAGCUGUGGAGGUCCAAACACCCCAAACCACCUCAUCCCUUGAACGAAUCCGCGUUUCACAACGAGGCUCCCCACUGACUCAUGCCUCCGAGGCUGGGGAAUCCCUAUUUUCCUCUGAGCUCAUCCCUGACAUCUCUUCCUCUUUAAGGUGAUCCUUGCUUUUGGCUUUUUACCUGUACAUUGCUUGGUGAUACAGACAAGCCAACUGCUCUGAAAGCACAGAGGUAAUUCCAGAGCAUCCACCUUUCUUCAUUUACUGUCAUUCACCCAGAGCUGGGAGCCUGUCUCUAAAUUCCUUAUCUGUGUUCAUGUCAGGAGGUUGAAGCAAGCCUCGUCUUGCCAAAUAAUCAAGGACUGACAGAGUUAGAAAUGAAAGCGUAACAGAAACUUGGACUGAUCACAGACUCAAACCAGUACAUCUCCUUUCCUUCUCUGAAUUGGGAACUGAAACCAUUCCAUAGGAAGCUCGCUCUUCCCCCUCCUAUGGAAAAAUAUCUGCCUGGCUUGAUUCCCUUUUUAUAUUAUUUAUUAUUAUUAUUUGAGAUGAAGUCUUGCUCUGUCCCCCAGGCUGGAGUGCAGGCACACCACCUCGGCUCACUGCAACCUCCGCCUCCUGGGUUCAAGCAAUUCUUCUUCCCCCAGCCUUCCCAGUAGCUGGGACUACAAGCGGCCGCCACCAUGCCUGGCUAAUUUUUCUUGUAUUUUUAGUAGAAGUGGGGUUUCGCCAUGUUGUCCAGGCUGGUCUCAAACUCCUGACCUCAGGGUGAUCUGCCCACCUCGGUCCCCUCAAAGUGCUGGGAUUACAGGCAUGAACCAUUGCACCUGGCCUUGAUUCCCUGUUUAAUGCACAAAUACUAAGAGCAAUAUUCACCAAACUCUAAUAAAAUUGUGGAGUAGUUUUCUACCAGGACAGAGUUAACAAC
rnacentral:lncRNA from 1 species